rnacentral:ribozyme from 1 species
AAUAAUUUUACCCGUUAUAUGAAUGUGCCUCCUGAAGAUUCCAUCCAACUCCUAUUCCGACACGUCCACGUCUUGCAGGAUGGUAACAUGGGCCUAAGCCCUACUUUUGGGGCGAACGACGGCUCAUGGCUAAAGGGGAAGGG